rfam:Oryza glumipatula chromosome 7, whole genome shotgun sequence.
AAAAAAACAAACUCUAAAUUUUCGUGUCUAAUGUUUGACUGUCCGUCUUAUAUGGAAUUUGUUUUUAUGAUUAGUAUUUUCAUUGUUGUUAGAUGAUAAACCAUGAUUAAUUCUUUAUACUUGACUUACUUUUUUAAUUUUUUUUAUAAUUUUUUCAAAUAAGACGGACGGUCAAAUAUUGGACACGGACACCCACGGUUUGAUUUUUU